rnacentral:rRNA from 1 species
AUACGGAGGGUGCAAGCGUUAUCCGGAAUCAUUGGGUUUAAAGGGUCCGUAGGCGGGCAAUUAAGUCAGAGGUGAAAUCCCACAGCUCAACUGUGGAACUGCCUUUGAUACUGGUUGUCUUGAGUUAUAGUGAAGUAGAUAGAAUGUGUAGUGUAGCGGUGAAAUGCAUAGAUAUUUCACAGAAUACCGAUUGCGAAGGCAGUCUACUAACUGUUGACUGACGCUAAUGGACGAAAGCGUGGGGAGCGAACAGGAUUAGAAACCCCAGUAGUCC